GGUGAAGAGUCUAUACGUUAAAAAAAAAAAAAAGUUGGCAUUAGCCAGGGAAGUUGUCAUGGACGUAAGACAAACACAAUGUUGCGUUUUUUUUUUUCCUCUUGUCUUGUUCUUCAAAGAUUUCAAUUGUCAAGAUAUGUUAGAAGAGACUCUAAAGUCCAAAGCUCACUCUCUACACCUUGCUUCCUUCACAGGGGAAGCUUAAUAAGGCUGAGGAAGAAGACAAAGGGAGAGAGAAGAGAAAAAGAGAGAAAAGGGGCGGGGCGAGGAAAGCCAAAGGAAGCCAAGUACUGUGGUUAAGCUGGUUUUCUAGGACGGGUAAAAUCUGAUUAGGCAAACAGAGGUGAAAGGAUGGGCAGGCAGGCAAUUUGAGGACAGGCUGAUUAAGAAGUGAGACAGCAGACACCACUGGUUCGGAACGCCAGCAACCCCGUGUAGUUCUGCAUGUGUUUGUCUGUGUUUAAACAGACUGUACACAGAAACGGCCAGUGGAGGAAGAUUUCUUUCCUACUCUAAGUGCAUCCUACCCAAGAUGAAAGAACAAACAUUUAGAGAGCAAAUGCUUGCAGUAAAUAUUUUUGAAGGGGGCACAGUCAAUACGGAAGUAGGAUUCUAAACAGUCCGGCUACCUGAUUCAUGGAGAAGGUUUAUCUAACAAAAUCGGAAAAGAAAUCUGAAACAUUCGGCUGCCUCUGGCCAUCUGUGCUGUCAGCUUCCCCUUGGCAUUUUCCGGACUGCUGUGAGCUGUUAGGGCUGUGUUUCUUUCAGCUUCCCACUGUGUGUGGCAACAGCCCUGGUCCUGGUGGAGUUCAUUGCUGCUGUUGCUUUAUGUACAAGAAUGUUUAUGUUUCCACUGGGGCAACGAACACAAAGGGAAUUGUUACACAAACACCUGGUGACUUGCAGAAGGGAAAAUGUCCCUUUAAUUAAAAAGAUGCCCAUGAGCAAUUUAUCUCCCCCAGGGGCUGGGCUCAAGGCAGUAACUUCCUCUCUUAUUUGACUAGCACUUUGGUUGUAUUUUGCAAAAAAAGCACAUUAUGUACCAAUUUGAAAAUUAUAUUAAUGCAUAUUAGUUAAACGACUCCCCACCACUGUAAUUGCCUCAUAUCUUUCUUUCUUUUCAUUUAUUUACUCUCUAGAAUAUCAACAGUCCUGAAGAGUUUUCUUUAAAGAGAGAAGAAUUUGACAAUAAAGCACUGGGGAAAAUCAAAUAAAAACAAAAAAGUCAAACACUCUGGAACAGAAAAGCAGACAUGAAGCAGUGAAAACAUCUUUGUGCUGUCUCAAAAUGCUUGUCCAUGUCACCUCUGAGUCACCAGAACUGCAAGGGACCUGAAGGGGACUUCAACUCCUUUUACAGCUGGGGACACUGAGGCGUGAGGAAGGAAAUGGAUGUGUGUGCGUCCAAACAGCAAUAAGUGAGAGCAGAGCAAGAGCUCAAAGCCAGGGUCUGAAAAAAGGUAAACCAAGUUUGACUUCAUGUGUGAUACCAAUGGGCUACCUGUGGGGUGUGAGCCAAAUGCAAAGCCUUUCAACUCUCUGUAAAGCGUUAUUUACCCAGGCCAAGAAGAGGCACACCUGUUUCUCAGAGGGUCACUGUGGAGGAUUUACAGCCAGCUAGAGAGAGGGGCUGACUUCAGAGCACCAGCUAGUGAAACUUGACAGUCACCUUUUUCCUCCUGAAAAUUGCACAGAAUUUAGUAGAAGGCUAUGCACAUAGUAAGAGCCCAGACAACUUCCGGAAGUUCAUGUGAAGCACUUCACCAUAGGCUUCAUCCUCGUAAUAGCAGGUGGCAAAGAACACGACUGCAAAGUCACUGGAAAACGACAAUAUAAGCAAGACGGACCAACAAGAAAGGGGAUCCUCUAUCCCAUACCCUGAGCCCCUGACAGAAGGUCCAGAGGACUCAAGCAGCUGCUACAUCUAUCCAUCCUUCCUCUAGGGAACAGAAAACCCAGAGAUUCUCCCAUGAGCCUGUAGGUAACACCUGGGUAACACCCAGUAGCCUGUAGGAAAAUCCUCCAAUGAAGAAGACAAGGGCUUUCAGUCCUGAUGGGGACCGUGGGCAUCUCAUUCUCCCAAAAGCAACUCUGUGUCCUGCUGGGGCUGUGCCCAUCCCAGGGCAGAGGAGCCAUUCUUGAGUGUGCUUUUCUUUUUUCCUCUCCAGGGCUGGAGUCUGAUUCCAUUUGAGACUAAUCAGAAGACAACCACAGGCCCUCCUUCAAAUCCCCAACCCCGGCCAUUUACAAUAGUCAGCAGCUUGGGCGGCACUGGCUCUGCUCUGGGUCUGUUUCCACUCAGCCUGGCACCCCUUGGGGAGCUCUACAGAGACAGAAGUGCAGGGGAACAGAACUGAGGUGCUGAGGGAAUGCUUCAGUCAACCUCCACCCCACACUCACUACUUUAUGUCCACAGCCAGUGAGGAACCGGGAGAUGUAAACGUGGAGGGCAACUCAGGAACCAGGCAACAAAGAGAGCCUACUGAAUAAGUCACCAUUGGAGGAGCAGUAACACCCACCUCCUUAUUGAAGGCUUACAGAAGGCCCGGCACACUCCAAUUGUGUGCAUGGAACAGCGCCCUUGGCCCGCACAACAGUCCUUCGAGGUCCCUGGGAAAGCAGCUGCAGUCCCCAUCUAGAACGGGCCAUAAUUCAGAGACGCUGAGUUGACCGAGUAGUUUCAGGGGAUCCAAUGUCAAGCACCAGAUAAGCUGUAGAAGGCCAGAGAAACUGGAUACUUUAAUUCAUGGGCUCUGCAAGAUGCCUCCCAAUUCCUCGUGUAGCCAGCUUUUAGCUGUUUUUAUCCUUGGGCUGUGAGGCAUAGCCAAUGCAGCUCACUGUCCAAAGCAAAGUUGAAGGUGCUUAUUCUAGCUCUUUCCUUCUGCCACUGUCCUGCUCUUUAAUUAGGUGUUGUUCAAAUAUUCUCAGAAGAAAAAAACGACAACCUAACAGCACACGUAAAUCCUGGCUGGAGACCUCAACCACCAUCUCACCUCCCGACUUUUCUUCCAAUCCAACACAGUAACACCAUAAUCAAACCUCGCAUCUAGAUUAUAGUUUUAACUUUUCCAAGUCCUUUCCUGCCCAUGACCUCAUUCUGUCCUCACAAAGCCUCACGGUUACACAGGACAGGUACUGCCAUGCACAGAAGCUGAUCAAGAUACUGAGGAAAAGGGUUGAACAGAAGACCUAAAAGUUUCAAGUGUCAGUCAGAAGCUGGACAAGAAUUCGGACAUCGCACCCCUACCACAGCAUCCUUUCGCAAGAUUACAUCUCUCAAAAGUAGGAAACAUUCAAAGCCAUUUGCAGUAGACAAAGUUCUAGCCACAGGCAGCCUCAAACAAACAGAACCAAAG